UACUUUUGGUGGUGGAUCACUUGGCUUGUGCAUCGAUGAAGAACACAGUUGGCUGCGAGAACUAAUGUGAAUUGCAGAACACAUUGAUCAUUGACACUUCGAAUGCACGUUGUGGCCCAGGGUCUUUCCGGGUGCUAUGCCUGUCUAAGGGUCG